UUAUGGUGGUAAUGGUGGGGGUGGAGGUGACUACUCUGCCAUCCAUGUUUAGGGGCAGGGAUGGGGACAAGAAAGGCAGCGUUCCACAACUAACGGAGCAAGGGUUGGCUGGAGGGACCCAGGAGGAUGGCUUCACUCUGGAGCUGGUUGAAUGUGGCAAAGGAUGCCCCAGGGAGAGAGGUACAGCCACCAGCUGCCUCCGAGUCUGCAGCUGGUUUCUCGUCUUCAGGGAAAGGCAUUGUUUGUUCGUUGUCUCACCUCAGGGGCAGUGGAGUCCAGGCGGGGUUCUCCUUGAGGAUCCUGUUUACUCUCGCCGUGCCCCCCAGUGCCCCGCACAGAGCCUGGCAAGCAGCGGGCACUUCAUAAACACUGGGAGACGUUGCAAUGGGCUGGCCACGGGAGAAGCACUCCAGUGGACCUUUGGAAAGCAGGUUCUUGCCUGAUUCUGUCCCUCAUGCUCUGUGGGAUCGGGAGCAAGUUGCUGUCUCUCUGUGCCUUGUGUUUCCCCAACAACAAUAAACAGAAUUAAAUCUGUAAA